rnacentral:tRNA from 1 species
GCCGGCGUGGCGCAACUGGAAGCGCACCUGUCUUGUAAACAGGAGGUUAGGGGUUCGAGCCCCCUCGCCGGCU